rnacentral:rRNA from 1 species
UACGUAGGGGGCUAGCGUUGUCCGGAAUCAUUGGGCGUAAAGCGCGUGUAGGCGGCCCGGUAAGUCCGCUGUGAAAGUCCAGGGCUCAACCCUGGGAUGCCGGUGGAUACUGUCGGGCUCGAGUCCGGAAGAGGCGAGUGGAAUUCCUGGUGUAGCGGUGAAAUGCGCAGAUAUCGGGAGGAACACCAGUGGCGAAGGCGACUUCCUGGACCUGUUCUGACGCUGAGGAGCGAAAGCGUGGGGAGCGAUCCGG